UAUUGCACAAUGGGGGAAACCCUGAUGCAGCGACGCCGCGUGAGUGAAGAAGCGUUUCGGCGCGUAAAGCUCUGUCAGCGGGGAAGAAACACGGUUCGCGAGAGCCGCGGACGGUACCCGACCAAGAAGCCCCGGCCAACUACGUGCCAGCAGCCGCGGUAAUACGUAGGGGGCAAGCGUUAUCCGGAUUUACUGGGUGUAAAGGGAGCGUAGACGGCAGCACAAGUCUGGAGUGAAAUGCCGGGGCUUAACCCCGGAACUGCUUUGGAAACUGUGCAGCUAGAGUGCAGGAGAGGUAAGUGGAAUUCCUAGUGUAGCGGUGAAAUGCGUAGAUAUUAGGAGGAACACCAGUGGCGAAGGCGGCUUACUGGACUGUAACUGACGUUGAGGCUCGAAAGCGUGGGGAGCAAACAGG
rnacentral:rRNA from 1 species